rnacentral:rRNA from 1 species
GACGAACGCUGGCGGCGUGCUUAACACAUGCAAGUCGAACGGAAAGGCCCUGCUUUUGUGGGGUGCUCGAGUGGCGACCGGGUGAGUAACCCGUGAGUAACCUGCCCUUGACUUUGGGAUAACUUCAGGAAACUGGGGCUAAUCCCGGAUAGGAGCUCCUGCUGCUUGGUGGGGGUUGGAAAGUUUCGGCGGUUGGGGAUGGACUCGCGGCUGAUCAGCUUGUUGGUGGGUUAGUGGCUUACCAAGGCUUUGACGGGUCGCCGGCCUGAGAGGGAGAACGACCACAUAGGGACGGAGAGACGCACCAGACUGCUACGGGAGGGAGGAGGGGGUAAGGUUGCAUAAUGGGUGGAAGCCAGACGCAGCAACGCCGCGUGCGGGAUGACGGCCUUCGGGUGGGAAGCCGCUUUCGCCUGUGACGAAGCGUGAGGGACGGAAAUGGGUAAAGAAGCACCGCCUAACUACGU